AUGUACAUUCCUACAAUGUUAAUGAACUGGAUCCCAUCAUAACUCCACAAUUAAGUGCACUUGGGCUAGAGUAGUAUUGGGAUGGGUGACCUCUCGAGAUGUCCUAGUGUUUUACAUG
rfam:Picea glauca, whole genome shotgun sequence.